UACGUAGGGUGCAAGCGUUAAUCGGAAUUACUGGGCGUAAAGCGUGCGCAGACGGUUAUGCAAGACAGAUGUGAAAUCCCCCGGGCUCAACCUGGGAACUGCAUUUGUGACUGCAUAGCUAGAGUGCGGCAGAGGGAGAUGGAAUUCCGCGUGUAGCAGUGAAAUGCGUAGAUAUGCGGAGGAACACCGAUGGCGAAGGCAAUCCCCUGGACCUGUACUGACGCUCAUGCACGAAAGGCGUGGGGAGCAAACAGGAUUAGACUACCCUGG
rnacentral:rRNA from 1 species